UACGUAGGGUGCGAGCGUUAAUCGGAAUUACUGGGCGUAAAGCGUGCGCAGGCGGCGCGUUAAGACAGGUGUGAAAGCCCCGAGCUUAACUUGGGAAUUGCGCUUGUGACUGGCGUGCUGGAGUGUGGCAGAGGGAGGUGGAAUUCCACGUGUAGCAGUGAAAUGCGUAGAGAUGUGGAGGAACACCGAUGGCGAAAGCGCUCUACUGGACCGCAACUGACACUCAGGGACGAAAGCUAGGGGAGCGAACAGG
rnacentral:rRNA from 1 species